UAUUCAUGGUUUACACAAUAGUAAUAUUCAUGAGCUUAUGACACGUGAUAUUUUUGCUGCAUAUCUUCUUCUUUGUUAUCUCCUUCUGACUCCUUCCUCUUCUUGACCUUGCAAAAAGAACAGCACUUGCCUCCCUUUCCUCGCAAUCACUCCAUUCACAACAAAUCCAACAGUCAGGUUAUUGCAGGUCAUUGUAAGCACUUUUGUACAUAAUAAAUCCAACAGUUGACUUCCAAUAUGAUUAU